rnacentral:rRNA from 1 species
UACGGAGGGGGCUAGCGUUGUUCGGAAUUACUGGGCGUAAAGCGCACGUAGGCGGCUUGUUAAGUAGGGUGUGAAAGCCCCCGGCUCAACCGGGGAAUGGCGCCCUAAACUGGCGAGCUGGAGUGAGAUAGGGGUGUGUGGAACUUCCGGAGGAGCGGUGAAAUGUGUUGAUAUCGGAAGGAACGCCGGUGGCGAAAGCGACACACUGGAUCUUGUCUGACGCUGAGGCACGAAAGCCAGGGGAGCGAACGGG